UGCCUAGGCCAUACCACCCUGAACGCCCUCGAUCUUGUCUGAUCUCGGAAGCUAAGCAGGGUCGAGCCUGAUUAGUACUUGGACAG
rnacentral:rRNA from 1 species